GAUGAACGCUGGCGGCGUGCCUAAUACAUGCAAGUCGAACGAACAGACGAGGAGCUUGCUCCUCUGACGUUAGCGGCGGACGGGUGAGUCACACGUGGAUAACCUACCUAUAAGACUGGGAUAACUUCGGGAAACCGGAGCUAAUACCGGAUAAUAUAUUGAACCGCAUGGUUCAAUAGUAAAAGACGGUUUUGCUGUCACUUAUAGAUGGUUCCGCGCCGCAUUAGCUAGUUGGUACGGUAACGGCUUACCAAGGCAACGAGGCGUAACCGACCUGAGAGGGUGAUAGGCCACACUGGAGCGGAGACACGGUCAAGACGCCUACGGGAGGCAGCAGUCGGGAAUGUUCAGCAAAGGUCGAAAGCCUGACGGAGCAACGCGGCGUGAGUGAUGAAGGUCUUCGGAUCGGAAAACUCUGUUAUUAGGGAAGAACAAAUGUGUAAGUAACUAUGCACGUAUUGACGGUACCUAAUCAGAAAGCCCCGGCUAACUACGUG
rnacentral:rRNA from 1 species